rnacentral:ncRNA from 1 species
AACAAUACAAUGAAGGAACCAAGUAAGCUGUACACUGGUAUAUAAGAGAAGCACUUCCAAGGCUGAAAGAGGUGCGAUACAAAGAAUAGCUGAAUGCUAGUCCUGAGUGCAGGAAAACCCUGCCGUUUUAGCAGCGUUAAUGCGAUGAAGGUGAUGAACAUUCUAACAUGUUCAUAAUCAGGGUGGUACCGCGAGCUAAACUCUCGUCCCUGCU